UACAGAGGGGGCAAGCGUUGUUCGGAAUUACUGGGCGUAAAGGGCGCGUAGGCGGCCGCCUAAGUCAGACGUGAAAUCCCUCGGCUCAACCGGGGAACUGCGUCUGAUACUAGGUGGCUUGAAUUCGGGAGAGGGAUGCGGAAUUCCAGGUGUAGCGGUGAAAUGCGUAGAUAUCGGAAGGAACAUCAGUGGCGAAAGCGGCUUCCUGGACCAGAACUGACGAUCAGGCUCGAAAGCGUGGGGAGCAAACAGG
rnacentral:rRNA from 1 species